GCAUCUGUGUAAGGGAGGGCCGGGUGGCUGAGGCUUGUGACCCUUCCGUAACCUUUCGUAACUAUAUUUAAACUAGUCGCGUGCUACGUGUAGACGAAGCCUGAGAAAAAUGGGAGCCCAGGGGAAUGAGUCCGCCCGUGGGUGGAGGAAGCAGGGGAGAAGGAUGGGAGCGAAUCGUAGAAGUAGAUUUGGGUUUGAUUUAAGGCAGCUAGGUGGCGCCGUGGAUAGGAUAUUGGAGUUAAAGUAAAGAUCUUGAGUUCAAAUUCAGCCUUCAGUGUGACCCUAGGCAAAGUAAUUUAAUCUUGCUUCAGUUUUCUCUUUAGUAAAAUGGUAUAAUAAUAGUACCCACCUCCCAGGGUUGUGAAGGGCUUUACAAACAUUAAAAUCUCCAUGUACACUAGCUAUAAUAUUCAGUUAAGACCGUACCCCACAGAUAGCUCAGGGCCUAGCAUUCUUUGGCGAUCUAGUUAAGCACCUUCCAGUAAGUGACAAUUCAGAGUUUCUGUUUUAUCGAUCAGUUUGUAAACAAACAUCAAAUCUCUACUGGUGCCAGGCACUGUGCUUGUCUCUAAGGAUACAAUUUUUAAAAAAUCCAUGGCCUACUUUUUUAUUAGACCUUUACAGCUUGGAAGGAAUAAUUUUUAAGCUCCAAAUUUCUCAAGAAUGGAUUUCAAAAGGAGAAUGAUGGAGAGAGCUUGAUAGUACCACCUUGGGUAAGGUUAGGGAUUGACAGAGCUGUGUGAGAUCAAACUUUCCUUUUCUUCUGACUGACAGCGACAGAGUUCCUCUACUUUUUUUUGUUUGUUUUUGUCCUAAUCUGUGAUUUCAUCAGAAUAGGGAUCUCCUGAUGUGGAAAUUCCUUCCACUGGACACCUGGAGUUUGUAAAAAGUCUUAGGUAGAUUCAGUAACUUAACCAAGGUCACAAUCACUAUGUGCCAGCAUUUGAACCAAGAUCUUCUAGGCUUCAAGACUAAACAACCCACACUAACUGGCUUCUUUUCACUGUACUAUUUACUAUGGGGGGAAAUAUCCUGUAGCAUAGGUUCACAAAAGCGAUGCCUUUGUUUUUCUUACUACUAGUAACAGUAAAUAUUUUUAUGGCAGUAGCUCUUUACCCAGAAUACAAUCCAAAACUGGAUUAUACAAAUUAUAUUAACCUCAUUUACUUGAUAAGGAAACAGAGUCAACUUGUAUGUCUCCAGUGGAGUGCUUUAAGGAUCUGUGUUUGUCCCUAUGCUAUUUAACUUUUAUUAAUCAUUUAAAUCAAGGUACAGAUAAUGUGCUUAAAUCUAUAGUGGGUAAAAAGCUGAGAAGUAGUAUUCUGGAUAAUAGGAUUCAAAAAGGCUAAAAACAGACUAGAACACUAGAUAAAAUGUUAUAGGACAUGGAAGCAGGAAGACUUAUCUUUGUGAGUUCAAACCUGACCUCAUACACAUUAGCUGUGUGAACUGGACAAGUCAUUUAACCUUAUUUGCCUUAAUUAAAGAUUCAGACAUGAUUGAAAUGAUUGAACAGCAAGAAAUAAAAAUCUACUUUUCUGUUAAGUAUAGGAUAAGAGAAGGAGGGUUCGACCAUGUGAAAAAGAACUUGUGUAUAUUACAGGCUAAAUGAGUCAACAGUUUGAUGUGACAAAAAAAAAAUUUUUUUAAGCUGCUAUUUUAGGCUGCAUUAAGACAUACGAUUAUCUAGGACUAAGAAAGAUAGUGCCAUUGUAAAGUCUAGAGUGGUUGAACUUCUAGAUCAUGUUAUAUGGGGAUCUGUUAAAGGGAGAGAGGAUGUAUAGCCUAGAGAAGAAAAGACAAGGAUAGGAAGGAAGGGAGAAUGGCCAUGACUUUUGGCAAGGGCUAGUAUCAAGGGAUGAAAGUUUGCAAUAAGGCAAAUUUAGGCAUAAGUGAAAAGGGCUGCCCUAAAAAUUAGUGACCUUCCCCUGGGAGAUUUACAAGCAAAAGCUUUGGCCAGUGUGAUUUGGCUAGAAGGGAUUUUUCACACUUGGGUUGGAAUAGGUGGUUUCUAAGGAUUCUUUCAUCUCUCUUGUGCUAAGAAAAAUUUAAGUGACUGACCCACAGUCAUCUAAUCUGUCAGUCAAGGUUCAGAUACCAAUUCUCUUUCCAUUACAUCAAGCUUUUAAAAAAGAUACUAUGCUUCCUUUGUCUUAUGGAGUAGCUUUACCCAUCAGUGUGUCUCUGUGUAGCCUUUGUACAGUGCUUCAUCAAUCUAUUAAUGGCUAUAAAGCAUAAUAUUCAUGUGGAGUCUUCUCUAUCCAUUUUAGGAUUUUAGCAUAUAGCACAUUUACCUUAAAAUUUGGAGGAAAACUCAUUUACUCUAAGAAAGAAAGAUUUAUUCUCUAUUUGUCAAGCAUUGAGCUUUAAAUCAUUGACCUAUGUUCCUAGAACAUAGAAAAAUUACUACAGGUGUAUAUGUAUUGUAUCUCAUCAUUGUGGAGAUUGAUUCAACUUUGAUAUUUAAUACCUCUGCCCCGUGUUGUUUCUUCCCUCUGCUUAGGGUGUAAAAAUAAAAUUGGUGAUUUAUAAAAUAAAAUGUUUAUUGAAACUGUUCAAUAUAAGGAUAAAGAAAGAAUUUCUAAUUCUAAGGGAUUCUAAAUCCACCCAAAUAAACUCCCAGGUUCUGCAAGGAACUACUUCUCCUGUGGCUACACUAAUUAGGCUACACUAAUCCUCCCUGAUCUGACAAACCCAAAUUUAUACUAUCUACAUAAAACUACUGCUAAUGUCCUUAUAAAUCUUAACUUCGCCUUCAAAUUAUGAACUAGCAGUCUGCUGGUUGAGUCUCUAUAAGAUUCAAGUUAGGACAGAGUCCAAACCAAAGAUCAGAUUUUUCUUUGGUCUUCUCAGAGUUAAACAAUCUAAAACUGCAAUAGAUGGUUACUAGUGUUUCCCAAGUUGGAAAAGUGAAACACUGAGCUCCUUCAGAUCUUUCCCUCAGACAGAGAGGCAAAGAUGUUGCCUCCUCCAGCCCCGAGAGAGAGUUUCUUGAGAGUGUGUCUGCCAACUGCCAGAGAGAUCAACUCCCAACUGCCAGAGGGAGUAAUUGACAUAGAAAAAAUGGGUUAUAACUGUCACAUCUGAAAUUACCAUGCUCCUUCAGCUCUGCUUCAAACUCCAGUUCUUUUCUCAAGCCAGCCACUCUACUUUUUAGCCCUAAACUAAAAAAAGAAAAAAUACUUAUUUUCUAAUAUCAUCCUUACAGGAGACAGGAGGAUGGAACAGUAAAUGCCUCCCUUUAUAAAGAGCUUAGAAUUUUCCAGCCCUUUGGGAAGGAGAGGAUGGGUGAACACAAAGACAUUUUGAAGUGGAGAAGAGAGAAAUUGGACUGAAUGGAAUUAAUUUUGGUUAAAAUCAGGUCAAGAAUGAGCAUGCAAGGGGUGAGAUUAUGGUCCUGAGGAGAAUGGGAAAAGUCACUCUAAAGAAGUUGACAGAAAAUCUCCAAGAGUUAAAUAAAAGGAUUGUCUAGCUAUAGUGAGGACCCAAUUUGUGGUUAAAGAAGACAAAUUUUGAGAGUCCUAGUUAUCAUUUUUUCAUUUUUCUCCAAUAAUGCUUUGCAGCUUGAAAAUUCAACUUCAACCUCCAUUUAUUAAGAAAACAUAUAUAGUGAUGAAACUUGGGUGGGCUAUAUUAGAUUUUUUUAAUUGUAGAGAUUUUUAAGGAUAGGAGAUAAUUCCCACUUUGAAUGAUGUUAUACUUAAAAUAGAGAUUCUUAACCUGGAGUUCAUAGAUAGACUGAAGGAGGUGUGUGAACUCGAUUGGGGGAGGGAAAGGUAUAUAUUUCAAUAUAAUUGGUUUCCUUUAUAAUCUCAUGUAAUUUAUUUUAUGCAUUUAAAAUGAUUAUUCUGAGAACAGGGUCUACAGGUUUCCCCCAAGACUUCUAAAGAGGUCCAUGAUGUAAAAAAAAAAUGUUAAGAAUUUUGACCUUGAUAACCUUCUAAUUUAAUAGUACUAUAUGGCUACUAGAAUGAAAAACAUUAUUCAAUUCCCCCAUUUAACUCAAAAAAAAUUAAGUGUUUGUAAUAGAGCAAAGCACCAUGCUAAGUAAUUUAUAAAGAUAAAUAAGACACUACCCUGAAAAGCUAGUGUGGAGGUAAGACAGUUACAAAAGUAACUAUACCCAAUAAACAUAGUAAGUGCAUAGGAGGUACCAAAAUAAGUUUAAUAGAGUUACAAGGAAGGAAAGACAACUUCUGACUGUUAGAAACAGGAAAAGUCCAUGGAGGAGAUGUCAUUGAGCUUAGUCUUAAAGGAUGGGUGGGAUUUCAACAAGAAUAAAUAAUAACUCAUUCAUAGGGUGCUUUAUGGUUUUAAGUGGGUUUUUUGUUUCUGUUUUUGUUUUUUUUAGAAUCCUACAUAGGUUUCAUUUUCCUUAUUUUUCCAACUUGAUGCUCUGAGAAGUUAAAUGAUUUCCCCAAAGUCACACAGGUGUGGUAGAUCCAAUCUUAGGUUUCCAAGUCCUGAAUUUCUUCCACUCUGCCAUAGCUGUAUUUGUGGUGGGUGAUAUGGAGGUUCUAUUUCUAGAAAACUGUGAGGCUAAGGUAUAGACAAUAAAAAGCACAUACUGUGUUCAUGGGUCAAUCCAAUUUGGCUAGAACACAAAAUAAGAGGGAGAGGAAUAGUGCAAGAUAUGAAAGCAAAGCUAGUUUGGCUUCAUUUUGUAGAGGGUUUUGAAGGUCAAGCUAAAGAGUUUGGAUUAUGUUCCCAUAAAAGGGUUUUAAGCGAUGGAAUAAUUUGAUGUCUGUUAAUUUAAUAAAUCUGUUAAGGAGAAUUUAUCUGCAAAAACCUAUGGAACCAAAGAAAAUAUUUUUUAAAUGAUAGUAAAUUUGCAGCUAUUAAUUUCAGAGGGCCCAAAAUUCCGGUCUAUAGAUGAUGCACCAGGAUUUUAACUAUUAAACCAAUCUGCAUUUCUAUGGCUUUGGGGAAGUUCCAAGGCUUUUAGCUCCAGAUAAAGCAUAAUUGACCUCUUUCAUUCUAAACCCCCUCAUAAGUGUUAAAGGAUGGAGAAAUCCUAUUAUGUCAGAUUUCUUUGGCACACCCUUUCUCUGGACUCUAGGGGACAAGUCUUACAUGCUUCCUCUGAAACAUUUUCCAGAGCUUGAUUUUAAAUGGAACUGCUUUUUAAAAGUGUCUUCUGAUAAGUCAGUUUUCUUUGAACUUGAUACUGUUAGGGAGCCAACUUGAUUUAUUUCUUUUAUCCCAGUGAUGAAAAGCUAAGCUGGGACUAGUGUAUAGGAGGCUAGUUAUUGUGAAUCAAGAAGUCAUAGAAUCAUAGGAUCAUACGAUUUAGAGCAGGAAGUAAUUUGUUUUACUUUUUUAUUAUUGAAUUAGGCACAGCCAAAGUAACAUUCUGUAUUCUACACUACAGAGUUCAUGAAUUUGUCUGGACUUUAAUGACAGCUUACAUUUUCUACAGCUCUCAACUUAUCUACAUGUGCAUUAUCCAAUUUUUAGAACAUAAUUCGUGAACUUUUAAGAGGAGACUAGCCUCUCUUAUCUCUUAGUACACUCCCAAACCAUCUUUCUUCAUCUCCUAGACCUUGCAUGGGAACAUGAACUAUAUAGACAUGUUAAUAUCAGUUCAGGGAAAUGUUAAUGUAAGGGGUAAAACUUCACUCCCUAGUCCAAUACAAAUUAUGUUUGUAUUACCCACUGUUUUAGACCAUCAGUGUCAUUGUUGCUAUCCAUUCGCAUGAAAAACUGAGAGUUUAAUUUUCUGUGUUUUUCAAAUGUUUGUUAUGCCCGAAGGAAAUUUAAUAGCUGGAGAGGAAAAAUUUUGGAAAUGCUCACUGAAAGAGAAAAUAGUUACGAUUUAAGAUUUUUAAUGUUUUAUUGAUGCUUUUUAUCAUUGUCAUUUCUGAAUACUUUCUACCCUAACUAUACUUCCCAACCAGAUACUUCCCAACACUGAAUCUUGUAACAAAGAAAACCAGGUAAACCAAAGACAAUAGAUAUGGUGACCCAGUCUGACAGUAUCCAACUUCUGUUCUUGUAGUCCUGUCUGCUAGGAGGAAGGAGGUAUGUUCCUGGAGCCAUUACUAGUUUGCAAUCACUCAGAGUUCAACUUUCUAGUACUGAAAGACUACGAAUGCCAAUUAUGUCCAAGAUGUAUCCUGAUCAGAAGCAAAAAGCUGAUGGAAAUAGACCCAAACUAUUUAAUUCUAGUAUUGAUCUGCCUGGUUUCCAUACAAACAGUACAGUUUACUUUUUUGGCUUUUUCUGUCAGUUGUCAACAUAACAUUGGAGCCUUAAAGUAAAUCCUUCCUUGACUCCUCCAGAAAUUCCAUAAUACACGUAGGCAGAUUUUAAUAUUUUUCAUUGUCAGCAUCGUUAUAUGCCAAACAAGCUCUCAAAAUAUGUCCUAAAAGUAUAGAUUCUCUUUCUUUGACAAGGAAAUCCUAUCUCUUACAAUGUCACAUGGACUCAGCUGUACAGUUGGAUUUGUAGAUGUUCCAAGUUUGGUUCAUGCUUUUCAGUGCUUCAGGAUUAGGGACUGAUGCCAGAAGCUAUUCUUCUUCACUCCAUUAAUUAGGUUACAGGGUGGAACUAAUCGUACACAAUGGGCUUUAGGGAAAAAAAAAAGACACUCCCCCUCCCCCCAUUCAUGGCCAAAUGAAUAUGUUGUCUUGGCAUCAGCCUGAAUAAUUAAUGAAAUUUUAGAAAUACCACAGUAAGUUGGCAUAGUUGGGUAAGGGGGUACCCUGAUUAAUUGAAUAAACAUGGUAGAAUAUCAAUGCCAUAAUACUGUUGGGGGCAAGGAAUUAGUCCCUCUGUAGGAUAUAAGAACCAAUCAUAGAUUCAUGGAAUCAUUGCAUACUGGAGCUCAAAACAAAAACAAAGCCAUUAAAAUGCUAGAGAUCCUUUAAUCCCACACCUUUUUGUUAGUAUUUUGGAAGUUUUAUUGAAAUGUUCUAAAACAGUCAUUUCCAAAUAUUUCCACUACCCCUUGACUAAAUUCUCCCAUGUUAUAAAGAAAAACAAAUUAAACAAAAUUAACCUAUAUAGUGCCUGUGAUUGAGCAUAUGUGCAACAUUUCCCUGCCAUAGUGCCCCAUUUCUCCACCAAGAAGAGAAAAAUGAUUCAUUAUCUUUUUUCUGAGACAUCAUCAUUAUAAUUAAUUUGGAUUUGGUUGACUUGUCGUUUUGUUUUUAUGUUGUUCCAAUCAUUGGGCAUAUAGCUCUGUUUCUGUUUACUUCAUUGACUCAUACAAGUUUUUUCACGUUUCAAUGAAUUCUUAUGCAUUACAAGUUUUCUUUGUAAUGAGAGAAUUCAAUGGGGAUAAGGGUGGGGG